GAGAAAACACCGGUUCCCGUACGAUCAAGGAAUUUAAGCAAUGUCCAGCUUGAUCAGUACCUAGAUGGGUGACUGCUUGGGAAUACCAAGUGCUGUAAG